rnacentral:rRNA from 1 species
UACGUAGGGUGCGAGCGUUGUCCGGAAUUAUUGGGCGUAAAGAGCUCGUAGGCGGUUUGUCGCGUCUGCUGUGAAAUCCCGAGGCUCAACCUCGGGUCUGCAGUGGGUACGGGCAGACUAGAGUGUGGUAGGGAGAUUGGAAUUCCUGGUGUAGCGGUGGAAUGCGCAGAUAUCAGGAGGAACACCGAUGGCGAAGGCAGAUCUCUGGGCCAUACUGACGCUGGAGGAGCGAAAGCAUGGGAGCGAACAG